rnacentral:rRNA from 1 species
AGUGAACGCUGGCGGUAGGCCUAACACAUGCCCGUCGAACGGCAGCACAGUAAGAGCUUUCUCGUACGGGUGGCGAGUGGCGGUCGGGGGCGGAAUAGAUCCGAACUUACUUUUUCGUGGGGGCUAACGGCGGGAGCCUUCCGCUAAUCCCGCAUAACACCCGCAGGUUAGAGCAGGCGAUGUUCAGACCUUGCCCGGCUGAAUGACCCUGUGGCGGAUUAGCCAGUCUGCGGGGUAAAGGCCCCACCAGGCGGCGAUCCGUAGCUGGACUGCGAGGAUGAGCAGCCACACUGCAACGGAGACACGGUCCAGACUCCUACGGGAGGCAGCAGGGGGGAAUAUUGGACAAUGGGCGCAAGCCUGAUCCAGCCAUACCGCGUGGGUGAAGAAGGCCUUCGGGUUGUAAAGCCCUUUUGUUGGGAAAGAAAAGCAGCAGGUUAAUACCCCGCUGUUCUGACGGUACCCAAAGAAGAAGCACCGGCUAACUUCGUG